AGAGAAGUGGAAUCACAUGAUCCGUAUUACUCGUCUACUAGGCCUACUACUAAACGCAUCUUCUUUGCGCGGUAUGCCAGUGGGCGGCGAUCGGUCCUGAUUCAGCCACUCAGCUAUAACAAACCCGCGCUACUGCGCGGGUUUUUUU
rnacentral:sRNA from 1 species